GAGACAGCAGUCGCCGCGGUAAUACGAAGGGGGCUAGCGUUGUUCGGAUUUACUGGGCGUAAAGCGCACGUAGGCGGACUUUUAAGUCAGGGGUGAAAUCCCGGGGCUCAACCCCGGAACUGCCUUUGAUACUGGAAGUCUUGAGUAUGGUAGAGGUGAGUGGAAUUCCGAGUGUAGAGGUGAAAUUCGUAGAUAUUCGGAGGAACACCAGUGGCGAAGGCGGCUCACUGGACCAUUACUGACGCUGAGGUGCGAAAGCGUGGGGAGCAAACAGGAUUAGAUACCCCAGUAGUCCCUGUCUCUUAUAC
rnacentral:rRNA from 1 species